GAUGAAGAACGUAGCGAAAUGCGAUACGUAAUGUGAAUUGCAGAAUUCAGUGAAUCAUCGAAUCUUUGAACGCAUAUUGCGCUCUUUGGUAUUCCGAAGAGCAUGCUUGUUUGAGUAUCAGUAAACACCUCAAAGACUUCAAUUUGUUUUGAAUGGCUUUGGACUUGAGCAAUCCCAACACCAGUCUUUACGAUCGGUGGAGGGUUGCUUGAAAUGCAGGUGCAGCUGGACAUUCUCCUGAGCUAAAAGCAUAUUUAUUUAGUCCCGUCAAACGGAUUAUUACUUUUGCUGCAGCUAACAUAAAGGGAGCUUGACCGUAUUGGCUGACUGAUGCAGGAUUUCACAAGGGUCGGCAACGAUUCUUGUAAAACUCGAUCUCAAAUCAAGUAAGACUACCCGCUGAACUUAAGCAUAUCAAUAAGCGGAGGA
rnacentral:misc_RNA from 1 species